UUAAAUGGGUUUUUUGCAACCCUGGUUCUCCCACAUUUUCCAAUUGUUUUAAUUCGAUCCUUUUCAUUUUUUUUGAUUUCGUCCUUUAAUUUGUUUUUCAUUUUAUUUUAGUCCACGUGGCAACACAGCGUUUUGGAGGUCUGGGAAUAUUUCCAAAUUAACCCUCUAUGUCGUUCGCGCGGUGCACAUUGGCCCUUAUUUUGUUUUAUUUACGUUAUUCCCCGAUUAAUUUCGUUUUAGUUGCAAUCUAAUCCUUUUUUUUGUUUUUUAUGUGUUAUCUUUUUUAUUCUUUUUUAGUUAGUUUAAUAUUUUCAUUAGUAUUAGGAUCAUUGUGUUGGUAUUAUCACUAUUAUUAUUACUACUUUUAUUAUUAUUAAU
rnacentral:lncRNA from 1 species